UGGGGGAUAUUGCACAAUGGGCGAAAGCCUGAUGCAGCGACGCCGCGUGGGGGAUGAAGGCCUUCGGGUUGUAAACUUCUUUUGCUCUGAACAAGGCAUGCUAAUGGGUGUGUUGAGUGUAGGGGUUGAUUAGCGCCGGCUAACUACGUGCCAGCAGCCGCGGUAAUACGUAGGGCGCGAGCGUUGUCCGGAAUUAUUGGGCGUAAAGGGCUUGUAGGUGGCUGGUCGCGUCUGUCGUGAAAGCUCAUGGCUUAACUGUGGGUUUGCGGUGGAUACGGGCUGGCUUGAGUGCAGUAGGGGAGGCUGGAAUUCCUGGUGUAGCGGUGGAAUGCGCAGAUAUCAGGAGGAAUACCGGUGGCGAAGGCGGGUCUCUGGGCUGUUACUGACACUGAGGAGCGAAAGCAUGGGGAGCGAACAGG
rnacentral:rRNA from 1 species